rnacentral:rRNA from 1 species
GAUGAACGCUGGCGGCGUGCCUAAUACAUGCCAGUCGAGCGAACAGACGAGGAGCUUGCUCCUCUGACGUUAGUGGCGGACGGGUGAGUAACACGUGGAUAACCUACCUAUAAGACUGGGAUAACUUCGGGAAACCGGAGCUAAUACCGGAUAAUAUAUUGAACCGCAUGGUUCAAUAGUGAAAGACGGUUUUGCUGUCACUUAUAGAUGGAUCCGCGCCGCAUUAGCUAGUUGGUAAGGUAACGGCUUACCAAGGCAACGAUGCGUAGCCGACCUGAGAGGGUGAUCGGCCACACUGGAACUGAGACACGGUCCAGACUCCUACGGGAGGCAGCAGUAGGGAAUCUUCCGCAAUGGGCGAAAGCCUGACGGAGCAACGCCGCGUGAGUGAUGAAGGUCUUCGGAUCGUAAAACUCUGUUAUUAGGGAAGAACAAAUGUGUAAGUAACUAUGCACGUCUUGACGGUACCUAAUCAGAAAGCCACGGCUAACUACGUG